UGCACGUCCACCAUUUUUAUCUAUCCACCUGUGCACCGACUGUAGGUCUGGAUAACUCUCGUCUUCACCUCGCAAGGGGCUGUCGACGGAUGCGAGGAUUGCUCUCUCGGGCGCUCUCCUCGAAUUUCCAGGUCUACGUCUUUUACACACCCCAAAAGUAUGAUAUAGAAUGUAGUCAAUGGGCUUCUCAGCCUAUAAAACACUAUACAACUUUCAGCAACGGAUCUCUUGGCUCUCGCAUCGAUGAAGAACGCAGCGAAAUGCGAUAAGUAAUGUGAAUUGCAGAAUUCAGUGAAUCAUCGAAUCUUUGAACGCACCUUGCGCUCCUUGGUAUUCCGAGGGAGCAUGCCCUGUUUGAGUGUCAUUAAAUUCUCAACCUCACCCGUUUUUCUGAACGGGACUGAGGCUUGGAUGUGGGGGUUUGUGCAGGCUGCCCUUCUUGUGCGGUCUGCUCCCCUGAAAAUGCAUUUACCGAGUUCAUACUGAAACUUCCGUCUAUUGGUGUGAUAAUUAUCUACGCCGUGGAUGAGGUUUAGACUUGCUUCUAACCGUCCGCAAGGACAAUACCUUGACAAUUUGACCUCAAAUCA
rnacentral:rRNA from 1 species